rnacentral:lncRNA from 10 species
UCUCUGGGGUCUGAAGAGAGAUGAGAACUGAGAGCAUAUGUGCACUCUGCUCUCUGGAACUAGGAGCCCAGGCCUCACCUGCUGUGCUUGAGUCUUUCCUCGUUAUUUCUGUUGAGUGUCUUUUUCUCCUUCUAUACUCAAUGUUUCUUCAGAUCUUAGGGAAUAAACUGAACACUGUGAUAUAUAUGAAUAGAGUAGAUAUUUACUA